AGCUAAUUGUAGCCCAGGGUAAAAAUCCAUCCUCCAACAAUAAUUCAAUCUAGUUCCAGUCCAGGUUUCCAUUUCUUCCCUUCCAAUCCUCUGUAUUUGAUGGAGUUGCCAGUCCAUGUUUUCCACCUUUUGUUCCCUUGCCAUAAGACACACCCCUUUGUUUUAAUUAGCCAAUCACAGUCCGCUGCCUCAGUAUAAAAGCUGUCCUGGCUUCUCUCAGCUCAGUUGUGUGGGAGAGAAGCCAGAGGACAGCAGCUGUAGAAACCAGAAUCAUCCGGUGAUUGGGCGUUGUCGUGCGUGCUGGGCAAAACAUUCUUACUGAACUGGCCAGGUGCCCAUUCAGGGUAUAUUCGAUGGCGAGCUAGGCUCUGGAGCACACAACGUUCCUGUUAUCCAUUCAACACUCUUUGGUCUGGUAGGAGGCUAUACAGUCUGUCCUUUUUCUCUCCCACCUCCUCGAGCUACGCAACCGCUACAAUAUUCAACCCCUUGGACUAUCGCGCUAAUGGACAUUUCAAAGCAUUCAAUAACAAACAUAUGGACUUAAACGCGGUGCGCAGCUUUGGUGUUACAUUCUUGGUUGGGAGAACAGACACUGCUUUUUGUUGUUUCCUUCUUGCUUCAAUGAACAAUAUUUUGGACAUAUGAUGUAACUCAAAAUUGAUUGAAGUUAUUUCUGCUGCAGUGGUUAUGUAUAUAUUGGGUUCUAUUAUAUUCACUGUUUAUACAAUACACUUUUCCUUAAUUCAA